rnacentral:rRNA from 1 species
GUCCUAGCUGUAAACGGUGCAUAUUUGCUGUAAGCGGAAUCGACCCCGCUUGUGGCGAAGCUAACGCGUUAAAUAUGCCGCCUGGGGAGUACGGUCGCAAGAUUAAAACUCAAAGAAAUUGACGGGGGCCUGCACAAGCGGUGGAGUAUGUGGCUUAAUUCGAUGCAACGCGAAGAACCUUACCUGGCCUUGACAUGUAGGUAGUAGAAGCCUGAAAGGGCAACGAGGUAGCAAUACCAGCUUACACAGGUGCUGCAUGGCUGUCGU